rnacentral:rRNA from 1 species
UACGUAGGGUGCAAGCGUUAAUCGGAAUUACUGGGCGUAAAGCGUGCGCAGGCGGUUUUGUAAGUCUGACGUGAAAUCCCCGGGCUCAACCUGGGAAUUGCGUUGGAGACUGCAAGGCUGGAGUCUGGCAGAGGGGGGUAGAAUUCCACGUGUAGCAGUGAAAUGCGUAGAGAUGUGGAGGAACACCGAUGGCGAAGGCAGCCCCCUGGGUCAAGACUGACGCUCAUGCACGAAAGGCGUGGGGAGCAAACGAGGAUUACGAA